AGUGGGCGGGGCGGGGCCCUAGAACUCCCAAGAUUCUAUACCUUUUGUCUUCCGCUGCCGCGUGGAUAGGGAAGGACCAUCAGGUUGGGGCAGGGCGAUGCGUGUCUGAGCUCAGACUUUACUUGGGCGGGUCUUGCUGCAGCUGCUGUGGAGAAUGGGGGUCACAUGGAAUCUACACAUGGAAGGACAUAGGCAUUGCAUGCAGGUAUCCGGAAUCAUUGAUAUUGGUCUUAAAAUUUGGAAGUUUCCACUUUUGCUAAGCCAUGUGAGGACACAACAAGAAGGCAUCACCAAUGAAGAAUAGGCCUUCAUCAGACAUCCAAUCUGCAGGCCUCUUGAUCUUGGACUUCCUAAUCUACAGAACUUAAACCCUUCAGACAGCAAUGUGUUGAAAAAGAAGAAGAAAGAAAGCUUUAUUAAAAAUUUUCUCACUGAUAUUCCAUUUCUUAAGAGUUGAUUUUGUGCAUGAGUAAUUAGCACAAAAUGCUCGUAGACAAUAAAUAUCUAUGUGGAUAAUAUCACUAAGCAUAUGCAAUCAAGGCACAAUCUUUUGAAGAACAUCAUUUUGAGAAGACAGUGCCUAAAGAUGACGAUUUAAUAUGUACAGUUGCAGAGGUAUGAUGAAGUAACACUAAAAGUGACUUUUUUUAGACUAAAUAACUGCUGAUCUAAAUGAAUUUCACUAAUUUCAAUUGUCACUUUUCUUGGGCAUGUAUAUCAAAAAUUGCUGUUAAUGUGUUGGCUUCAUUAGCAAAAGAAAUUCAUGAGUAGUUAAAGAAUGACAGUUUUAUAUUAUCAUCUUCAGAUACUUCAAAAGGAAAUUUCAUUAAUUUACAACCAAUAAUGGUUCAAUUUUGUCAUCCAAUUAAUAAAAUCAAAGUAAAACCUUUGCAAGUUCAAUCUGUCAAAGGUGAAACAUCUGACAUUAUGAAUGCUCUUAUACAUUCAAUUUAAGGUUUAAUAUUGCAUAUAGAAUUACUACUGGAGAACACAAAUGUAAUGGAGCACUCUUGUGAAAACAAUGUGUUUAAAUUAAGAAAUGUACUAAACACAAAUAAAUCAUGGUACAGACAUAAUUUAUACUUGAUAAAUCCAAAUAAAAACUGUACAUGUCAAAAUUUACAUAUGUAGUAACCAAAUUAGAAAACGUGAUGAAAUUAAUGUUGAUUACAACAUAAAUCUUCAAUUUGGCUGUAUAUAUCUUCUUUCUUUGCUGUCUGUCUUCAACUGGAUUUUAGGAAUGUUUGAUCUGCUGAAAAACUAUUUUGUAAAUUGUCCUGUGCUUUAUAAUUUUAUUCAACUUUUUAAACAAACAAUUCCUCUUAUAUUUUGGUUUCGUAUGGUUCAUAUUUAGUUUUAAAUUGUUAUUUAAAAAGUUAAUUUUAAGCAGAGCCAUAAUUCAUCAUCUUUUCAAGAUUUUAUUGAAUAGCAAUCAUAGGAAACAAGAUUUUCAAACCAGUAAACUUUCAUAACCAUCUCUAGAGAAGUUAGUGAAAAAUUUAAAAUGUUAAGUAAUGACAAGUCAAGAGUGUAGAAGAUUUAAUUUUAACACUUGAUAAUUACACUUUGGAAAUAUUUUGCCUUUAUUAUAAGGAUCUUUUGAUGGAGCUUCUUUUUUGUACAAAUUUACGGGUUACAUGUGCAAUUUUGUUACAUGUAUAGAUGGUAUAGUGGUCAAUUCAGGGUUUAUAGGUUACCCGUCACGUGAAUAAUGUAUAUUGUGCCCAUUAACCAAUUUUUUGUCAUCCAUUCCCCUCCCAAUCCCUCACCUUUCUGAGUGUCCAAUGUCUAUCAUUCCAAUGUAUUCAUGUGUACAUAUUAUUUAGCUCUCAUUUACACAUGAGAACAUGUGAUAUUUGACUUUCUGCUUCCGAGUUACUUCACUUAUGACAAUGGCCUCUAGUUCCAUCCCUGAUGCUGCAAAAGACAUAAUUUCAUUCUCUUUUAUGGUUGAAUAGUAUGCCAUUGUGUAAAUAUACCACAUUUUCUUUAUCCAUUCCUCCAUCGAUGGACACUUAGGUUGAUUCCAUAUCUUUGCCAUUGUAAAUAGUGCUGCAAUAAACAUACUAGUGCAGGUAUUGUACUGAUCUCUUUUCCUUUGGAUAGAUAACUGUAUGGGAUUGCUGGGCUGAAAGGUAGUUCUAUUUUUCGUUCUUUGAGAAAUCUCCAUACUGUUCUCCAUAGAGGUUGUACUAUUUACCUUCCCACCAAUCGUGUAUAAGAGUUCCUUUUUAUUUGCAAAUUCGCCAAUGUCUGUUAUGUUUUGUUAUUUUAAAAUAAUAGCCAGUUUGACUUGUGUAAGAUGAUACCUCGUUGUGGUUUUAUUUUGCAUUUCUAUGAUGAUUCCUGGUAUUAAGCAUUUUUUCAUAAACCCGUUGGCCAUUUUUAUGUCUUCUUUUGUCUUUUUUACAACAGUUUCCUUUCACUAAAAAGUGCCCACUUUUAAUGGGAUUAUCUCUUUUUUGCUGUGGCGUUGUUUGAGCUCCUUGUAAAUUCUGGAUAUUCGUCUUCUGUCAGACGUAUAAUUUAAAAAUAUUUUUCUCCCUUUCUACAGGUUGUCUUUUCGCUCUGUUGAUUAAUAUUUUCUGCUUUUCAGAAGCUUUUUAGUGUAAUUAAGUCCCAUUUUUCUACUUUUAUUUUUGUUGCUUGUGCUUUUGAAGUCUUAGUCACAAAUUCUUUUCCUAGCCCAAUGUCCAGAAAAUGUUUUCCUGUUGUCUUUUCUAGUACUUGUAUAAUUUUGAGUCUUAUGUUUGUCUUUAAUUCCAUCUUGAGCUAAUAUUUUAGUAUGGUGAGGGAUAGAUAUCCAGUUUCAUUCUUCUGUAUACGUCAAUCCAAUUUAUCCAGUACUAUUUAUUGAAAAAGGUGUCCUUUCUCCAAUGUAUGUUCUUGUCAGCUUUUGUAAAAAAUUGAUUGUUUUUAAAUAUGUGGCUUUAUUUCUGGGUUCUGUAUUUUGUUCCAUUGAUCUAUAUAUCUAGUUUUGCCUCCAAGUUAGCCUGGUCUCCAGGUCUAUGUUUCUCACCAUUAUCCAUCACCUUGUCUUGACAGAGCCACAAGUUAGGAAAAUACGUUGAAAGAAUAGGGAGCUUUAUUUUGUAUAGCUUUUUUAUUCUCAGCUGUGGGCUCAAUUUAGUCUCCUAAGCAAAGGGUAGGUCCUGACAUGUGUUUCUUAAUUAAAAUUUACAUCCAUUAUUAAUUUUCCCUAUGGCAAGUAGCUUACAUUGUAUUUUGUGAUAUGACUCUCCAGUAGGCAGAAGACUUUGCUUUUAAUGUUUAUGAUAUCACCUUAUUGUCUAUGUGAUAAUACACAAGCCACUUAACAUAUCUACAUGUAAUAUGGACAUUUGGUGAGCAGAUAAAAUAAUAUAUGUGAACAUCUUUUAAAAAUGUAAAGCAGAAACUUUUGUGUGGCUGCAUUAGAUGUAAUAUCUAAUACUAUAUUAUUUUUGGUCUGACAGUUACCAAAAAAUCUCAUCUCAGAAUUUUGACUAUCAGGUAAAUGUGUACCUUUUAGAUCCUGCCUUCCCAUUCUCUUUAUGAGCAAAGAGAACUAUGCUUUCACAUACUACUGGUGUUUGAAAGUGGAGCACUGCAGUAUUCUAUUGUUUUAAUAAUGCCUAUCUUGCCUGAAGCACUAAGAAAACAAUUUGAAUCUCCUAGUCAAGUGUGUGUGUUUUCUAUCAAUAUGUAGUUAUCAUGCCACCAAGUGUUGUAGUUCUGAAUGGCAGUGCUCUCACAGUGAGCUUUAAAUCAGUUAAUUACUACAUUUGCUUUUUUUGGUGGGGGAAACAUUACCUUCAUGCUACCACAAUUCUGUUUUCUUGAAUGUUUUUGAUAUUGCUUUAAUUACAUAUACAUUGAAUGAGUGCUCAUAUGUUAAUAAAGAAGUAUUUGCUAAUGUGUUGAA